rnacentral:rRNA from 1 species
GACGAACGCUGGCGGCGUGCUUAACACAUGCAAGUCGAACGGAAAGGCCCUGCUUUUGUGGGGUGCUCGAGUGGCGAACGGGUGAGUAACACGUGAGUAACCUGCACUUGACUUUGGGAUAACUUCAGGAAACUGGGGCUAAUAUCGGAUAGGAGCUCCUGCUGCAUGGUGGGGGUUGGUAAGUUUCGGCGGUUGGGGAUGGACUCGCGGCUUAUCCGCUUGUUGGUGGGGUAGUGGCUUACCAAGGGUUUGACGGGUAGCCGGCCUGAGAGGGUGACCGGCCACAUUGGGACUGAGAUACGGCCCAGACGCCUACGGGAGGCAGCAGUGGGGAAUAUUGCACAAUGGGCGGAAGCCUGAUGCAGCAACGCCGCGUGCGGGAUGACGGCCUUCGGGUUGUAAACCGCUUUCGCCUGUGACGAAGCGUGAGUGACGGUAAUGGGUAAAGAAGCACCGGCUAACUACGUG